rnacentral:lncRNA from 1 species
UUUUACUGCGAUUCUUUAAUUUAUUAAAAAUGUGGUGUUGGAUAUACAUUUUUUUUUUUUUUGCAAUACAGAAGAAACAAAAACAGGCAAAUUCUUCAUUUUAGAGGGAGGUAGAAACAUAUUGCUCUAGCUGCAUAUACGAUACACAUAAACAUAAGGGCUCUGGAUGUUAACUUAAAAUGUCCAUAAGACGCAUCUGCUAUACUCUUUGCACUGUAUCCAGACCACACAACAUGCCAUGCUCAUAACACAAUGGUAACAUGAUACUUUGCACCCAGUCCCGCUGGUUCCCAUAAAAUAAAAAAAUAAAAAAAAUACAUGAUGGACCUUGACAAAGUGGUAUCUGGGGUGUUGUAUAAAACACAAUUUACAGGCAAAGUUCUAAAUGUGGGCAGUCACAAUGGAAACAAUUUGAAUGCUCCUGGCAACUGCCACACUUUGAGAAUGCUGACCCAGAAUCAAGAAAACUAACAAAUUAGGGCAAUACACAUGGAACUAGUUUCAAAUUCCAAAAGCCUUCCCAAGAAUAUAUGAACAUAAACAUAUAUGUUAUCCUGGAAAGGGUAAUUAUAUUCUUUAAAAAAUAUAUACAUUGUGACAAUUUAUUUAAAAAAAAAAAAAAACCUUUAAUCAUUAUUAAUGGACCCAGAAUACUUUUAUUAAGACUCCCAGUGGAGACAAAAAGGAAACUGAUCAAUCAACUUUCUUGGGAAAUGUGAAAAACCUAUUGUUUUCAUUGCUGUCCUUAAUAAGUAAAAUAGUAGGUUUUCAAAAUGUGGAAAGGCUUUCUUUUUUUUUUUUUCUUUUUUUUGCAAAUCUUUAUUUAAUAAUUUUACAUUACAAAGCAAAGGAAGGCAAAAUUGGACAGGACAUAAUAUCACAGUUACAGAAACUUGGAUAGGUGAGCCAUGAGUGGCAGCAAAGAGUUCCUAAAAACCAUAUGAAAUUUCAUCUUCUAGAGGAUGAUACUUUUGUCAUGUCAAAGGACAAGAUAGAGAGGAGACAAUGAAGAAGAUGAAAAAGAAAAAGGGGGGGGGGGGAGAGGGAGGCUAUUACAGCAUAUUGGCGAGGAAUGUGUCAACUAGGAUGGUUGACCAGAAAUGUAUUGAAUCCAUGGAGACCAAAUGGCCCCAUAUUGGUCAUAGAUCAAAAAAGAAUAAGCAAAUAUGGCUUGAAAAGUUUUUUCAACCCUCUCAACCUUUAAUGCUAGGAGCAAGCUUUUGACACAAAAAGAGCAAGACUAUGCUUUUUGUUGUCAAGAGAUGUUUAGUGAGGGAGUUCAUGUAUGUGUCUAAGGGAGGGGUAGCGUGUUGUAGUAGCACUGUUUCUGGGGUAAAAGGAACUUUGGAAACAAUAAUGUUCUCUAUGUGCCUGCAGACCACUUUCCAAAAAUGAUUGGGCACGACCACCAUAUAUGCAUCAUGGUGCUGGGGAUAAAAAGCAUCUCCUUCAUAAGUUAGAGUAUGUAGCAUUACUGGAGCUCUCUACCUGCUACUGUUCCUCUCUGAAGUAGAUGUCCAACUCUAUAUCCCACUCCCUCACAAACCAUGGUUGAGGUAGAGGCUUAUUUAACAGUAGUUUUGUGUAAAGCAGGUAGAUAACUCUGCACAAGUGCUCCCUUCGUUGACUGAGGGUCUCAAAAGCAGCGGGCUAUCUAUUCAUUAAGUAAAGCAUCGGGAUGGAGCUAAUAAAAUGAGAAAUAUACCUAUAAGAAAAGAGGGUGGUGACCUAAGCUAACGUGUAGGUCAUCCAGCAAAUGCUUUCCAUCCGAAACCAAAUGAGACAGAUGGACAUGCCCAUCUAGUUACAGAAAUGCAAAGACUGCAUCACAUUCUCCAGCCAAAAAACACUCUGGAUUGUUUAGUAAUGGCGUCCUUGGAUUUGGGAGAGACAAAAGGACACACUGGAAAUAAACACUGUGCCAAACACACAAUAUAGCCCCUAAAAAUAGAUGUGACAUAUAGGAGGAGGGAAGAGUAAGAUGAUUAAACCAUGCCAUAGAGAGGAGUACCUGAGGUUUACAAGGAGCACCAAGGUGUCCUAUAGUUUUAAUGUCAUUGUAUCUACCAGGGUUAUUCACCAAAGUGAGAAUUCAAAGUUAACUUCGAAUUUAAGGCCAAAAUAGCCAAUCUGGAAAAAUUCUGGAGGGAAAAGUCUUGUAUUCUUCCCAUUUGGCAACGCUGGCCUUAAAUUAAAAAAAGAGUUUGAAUGAGUUUGAACUCAAACACGGUCACUCACAACAACAGGUAGUUAUUCUUAUGCAGUUUGUUGUAGAUAUGAUGCCCAGUACUUUCUAUAGUUAACAUGGUGGUCUUUCAUGGUGUGCCAGAUAUUAGCCCUGUGCAUGGACAUGGCUAGUAAAAGAAUAUGUCGAAGCUGUAUUCACGUGCUGACAAGUGUCGUGAUAAACCGCAGUGUUUGUGGUAACACUCUGUACAUGCUAGAAAUAGUCUUGCACAAUAGAGAACACAUUGGAUUAUGGAUUAUUUUUAGUUUCAUUGAGACACUAAAAUAAUUGAAAUUUUGACUGCUCUUUCAUACUUAGCCCACUUGGAAGGUAUCAUUCAAAGUCAACUUUAAUUUGGUUCUCCUGCAGGAGAACACUGUUUUUGUUUUAAAAAGCAGAGGCUUCUAUAACAUAUUUCAUUAUUGUAAUGAAACUUUAAAUAUAAAAAAAAAGACCAAGCAAGUACAGAAACCUCCACUGAAAUUGCAUGGUUUGAAAAUAAAUGUCGAAGGGACACUCCAAACUCCUAAAGCAUUUCAGUAGGGGGAACUUGACAAUGGAUAAAAAAAAUAGAUUAGCGAUCGGGACAUCUGGCAUUGAAAAGGUAAAAAAAAAACCUUUUAAGUAUUCCUUUAAAAUUAGGGGACAUUUCGUGACAUCUGCAUUGGACAAUCUUGUUGAAUUGGAACAUACAUAAAACAUUUGCAAGCCAGUGUGUUUGGUAAGAAUAUUUCUUGCCAACAAAGUUAACACAGGCUUGGAAACCUGAAAGGAAAUUAAACAAAUCAAAUUGCAAAAUCUUCAAUAUAUUUUUUCAUAUAAAGCUGAAUUAAAUCAUUUAUAUAUAGCAAACAGAUUAUCUGAUGGCCCUUUUCUUAACCAAAUUAAAAUAAUUCUGGAAAUUGGUUUAAAAUCAACUAUUCCUUGAUAAGGGAUAUUUUCAGGCUGAACUUUCAUUUCUGCUGUCUUCUGUAAUAUUGGUAAUUACAUUUAUGACUAUAAUUAAUGUUGUUGCACGUAUUUAAUUGCGUUCCUGUAACUCCACAGUGGGUAGACAGGUAAUUUCUAAUUAUCCACUGCUUGUUAAAUACAUUUACAAAAGCAUUAUCGACUGUAUAAUUAUUUUUUGCCAGAAAAAAAAAGUGUCUUAUUUGAAUUAUUUCUAGUAAACUAACCACAUUUCCCCUUGGUGGUGCGUUAAAACAUGUGCUCUAGCAGUAAACAAUGCAGAUAUGCUUCAUAUUACAUACAAAGUGUUCAUAUAGUCUUACAUACAGCAGUGUCCGAACUGCCGCUUAAAAGGUAAGUGUGCUUUUUAGAUACAUUUUAUUAUUGUAUACUGUAGAGUGCUCAUAUACUCCACACACACUCUAGGUACACAACUUAAGUGCACGCAGUGUUUUCCCCACAUUCAAAUCUCUUAAAGGACCACUCUAGGCACCCAGACCACUUCAGCUUAAUGAAGUAGUCUGGGUGCCAGGUCCAGCUAGGGUUAACCCAUUUUUUUUUUAUAAACAUAGCAGUUUCAGAGAAACUGCUAUGUUUAUAAAUAGGUUAAUCCAGCCUCUAAAGCCUAAAGUGGCUGUUUCGUUGACAGCCGCUAGAGGCGUUUGCGUGCUUCUCACUGUGAAAAUCACAGUGAGAAGAAGCAAGCGUCCAUAGGAAAGCAUUAUGAAUGCUUUCCUAUGAGACUGGCUGAAUGUGCGCGCAGCUCCUGCCGCGCAUGCGCAUUCGUCCGAAGAGGAGGCGGAGAGGAGGUGGAGAGUUCCCCGCCCAGCGCUGGAGAAAGGUAAGAUUUUAACCCCUUCCUCUCCCCAGAGCCCGGCGGAAGGGGGUCACUGAGGGUGGGGGCACCCUCAGGGCACUAUAGUGCCAGAAAAACAAGUAUGUUUUCCUGGCACUAUAGUGGUCCUUUAAGCUUUACUAAAAAAGAAAGAUAUUUCUAAUACCUGCCCCCUUAGCUACACCUGACCUUUUCACAAAACAUCUUCCUGAUUAGAAGUACACAGAAAAUGUUCUGAAGGCAGCCAAUGAGAGAUCAGUGUUAGAUGAGCUGGUCACAUGACUCCACCCACAGGCAAAAACUGUACUCUUAUCUGCUCCCUUGUAUUUUGCAUGACCAUGAAAUACUAUACACAUAAUAUAAGGACACUGGUUGGCUAAGUGGUAGACUCAAGUCAGCAGCACAGCUCAUAUUAACCUCUGAACUACGCCUUCAAAUCAGGAAAGUGUGUUUAUCUUUGAUUAAAAAAAAACAAACAAAAAAAACACAAAUUUGAAUGCAGAUAAAAACGCAGCAUGGAUAUGAGGCCGAAACCUAUAAAAUGCACGUACAUCAUGUUGGUGCCUAGAGUGUUCCUUUAAGGGACGGGUGCUGAGAUUUUAACCGUUUAAACAAUACAUAUAACAAAUACAUCCAACACAAUAGCAAAUAACUGAUUGUAGUCUUGAUGUAUGCAUUUUCCAUAAGAAUAUCUGGUUGACAAUGUUAUAACCAUACAACAGAGUAUUAUUGUAUUUAUUCCACCCGUUAAGAAAACAUUUCCCAUAUUGUCACCACCCAGUAAACUUUGUAUAAGCCGAAAAACAGGAGGGAAAUACAACAAAUGAAAAUUUCUGGUAUGGUAAUCCAUUGAUUAUCAAAUGCCGGUCAGGUAAAAGCAAUAACUUUCCAACUUAUUCUAUGAUAAAAAUAAAAAUACUUUAAAUAAAAAUUCCAGUUUUCUUUUUCCAACAUUGUCCUAAAAAGCAUUCCCAAAAUGGGGAAUUUUUCACCCAGAUGGCAGCCUCAAAGGAUUCAUUGGAACUUCACAAUCAUUUUAAACUUUGCGCAAGUAAAACCUGCCAUAAGAAAUUCUCAGCCACUGCAAACAUUAUAAAAAUAUGCUAAACGGAAAAAUAUAUAUUCUGAAUUUUUUUUUUGUUUGUUACAAAGUAUUCCUAAACAUGAAAAUAUAUUCUGCAAGUUUUGAAACACGCAUCAUACACUUAGAAUAAUAUACAUAUAUUCUAGAAAAUGCCAAAAUACU